AGUGAACGCUGGCGGCAGGCCUAACACAUGCAAGUCGAGCGGCAGCGCGGGGGCAACCCUGGCGGCGAGCGGCGGACGGGUGAGGAAUUCGUCGGAAUCUGCCUUUUUGUGGGGGAUAACGUAGGGAAACUUACGCUAAUACCGCAUACGUCCUACGGGAGAAAGUGGGGGACCGCAAGGCCUCACGCAGAAAGAUGAGCCGACGACCGAUUAGCUAGUUGGUGGGGUAAAGGCCCACCAAGGCGACGAUCGGUAGCUGGUCUGAGAGGAUGAUCAGCCACACUGGGCCUGAGACCCGGCCCAGACUCCUACGGGAGGCAGCAGUGGGGAAUAUUGGACAAUGGGCGAAAGCCUGAUCCAGCCAGGCCGCGGGUGUGAAGAAGGCCUCGGGUUGUAAAGCACUUUUGUCCGGAAAGAAAUCCCUGGAGCUAAUACCUUCGGGGGAUGACGGUACCGGAAGAAUAAGCACCGGCUAACUUCGUG
rnacentral:rRNA from 1 species